rnacentral:rRNA from 1 species
UACGUAGGUGGCGAGCGUUGUCCGGAUUUACUGGGCGUAAAGAGCGCGCAGGCGGUCGUGCAAGUCGCGUGUGAAAGCCCCCGGCUCAACUGGGGAGGGUCACGCGAUACUGCUCGACUCGAAGGCAGGAGAGGGAAGUGGAAUUCCCGGUGUAGUGGUGAAAUGCGUAGAUAUCGGGAAGGAACACCAGUGGCGAAAGGC